CCCCGGUUAAUUCGUGGGGCCACAAGCUUUUUCCGGAAUUUAUGGGGCAUAAAGAAUUUUGUAGGCGGCUUUUCCACUUCGGGUUGAAAAACCCGGGGGUUUAACCCCGGGGUUCCGCAUUCGAUACGGGCUAGCUUAGAGUGUGGUAGGGGAGAUCGGAAUUCCUGGGUGUAGCGGUGAAAUGCGCAGAUAUCAGGAGGAACACCGGUGGCGGAAGGCGGAUCUCUGGGCCAUUACUGACGCUGAGGAGCGAAAGCGUGGGGAGCGAACAGGAUUAGAUACCCUGGUAGUCCACGCCGUAAACGGUGGGAACUAGGUGUUGGCGACAUUCCACGUCGUCGGUGCCGCAGCUAACGCAUUAAGUUCCCCGCCUGGGGAGUACGGCCGCAAGGCUAAAACUCAAAGGAAUUGACGGGGGCCCGCACAAGCAGCGGAGCAUGUGGCUUAAUUCGACGCAACGCGAAGAACCUUACCAAGGCUUGACAUACACCGGAAACGGCCAGAGAUGGUCGCCCCCUUGUGGUCGGUGUACAGGUGGUGCAUGGCUGUCGUCAGCUCGUGUCGUGAGAUGUUGGGUUAAGUCCCGCAACGAGCGCAACCCUUGUUCUGUGUUGCCAGCAUGUCCUUCGGGAUGAUGGGGACUCACAGGAGACCGCCGGGGUCAACUCGGAGGAAGGUGGGGACGACGUCAAGUCAUCAUGCCCCUUAUGUCUUGGGCUGCACACGUGCUACAAUGGCCGGUACAAAGAGCAGCGAUACCGUGAGGUGGAGCGAAUCUCAAAAAGCCGGUCUCAGUUCGGAUUGGGGUCUGCAACUCGACCCCAUGAAGUCGGAGUUGCUAGUAAUCGCAGAUCAGCAUUGCUGCGGUGAAUACGUUCCCGGGCCUUGUACACACCGCCCGUCACGUCACGAAAGUCGGUAACACCCGAAGCCGGUGGCCCAACCCCUUGUGGGAGGGAGCUGUCGAAGGUGGGACUGGCGAUUGGGACGAGCGUAAAAGAU
rnacentral:rRNA from 1 species